UACGGAGGAUCCAAGCGUUAUCCGGAUUUAUUGGGUUUAAAGGGUGCGUAGGCGGCCUAUUAAGUCAGGGGUGAAAGACGGUAGCUUAACUAUCGCAGUGCCUUUGAUACUGAUGGGCUUGAAUACACUAGAGGUAGGCGGAAUGUGACAAGUAGCGGUGAAAUGCAUAGAUAUGUCACAGAACACCAAUUGCGAAGGCAGCUUACUAUGGUGCAAUUGACGCUGAGGCACGAAAGCGUGGGGAUCAAACAGG
rnacentral:rRNA from 2 species